ensembl:lncRNA
CUUCUCUUUACAGAGAACCCUGGCACUGGAGGCAGCUCAUGCUCUCCAGAAGCUCCUGCUGGCACCCUUGUUUCCCUUCCUGCCUAUGCUUGGCUGUAACUCCAGGACUGCAGAACCAAAAGUCCCAACAGAGCUUUACGAUGAACUCAUUCCCUUCAAGGAAACACCUCACCUAGCUACUCAGAGCUCUCUGGAUGUUCAUUUUUACCCACUGAAACAUCUGAUCCUUUCGUGCUUCCUGCAAAGCUCUUGGCGUCCCUGAUGACAAUGAUUUCCAUCUGUGCUCUCCCUCCGAUCAUUUCCAGGCUGCCUUUGUGACCACAGACCUCAGUGCAACCACCUCCCCAGGGAGGAACAAGGGAUGAAGAAGUACUGCGUGUGAAUGGAGCUCCGUCUCCACGCUGUCUGCCCAUGCUGUCCCUUCUCAGCAGCCUCUUCUCUGGGACACAUAGCCCCACUGCAGCCCGGGGGCCAGGUGAUGAGACAAGAGCCAGCCUGGUUCCUCGGGCUCCUGUUUUCCUCCUUCUGCAGGAGCAAUUAGGCUGCCCUGAGGCUGCCUUCAGUAGGCUGAUGUUAUCUCUAUCCUGACGCAGGAGAUCAGCCCUAAGACCUUCUAGCAGCCAUGCCAGCGUCACUCUCUCCCC